GUUGAUAAGGUUAAGUGAAUAAGGGCGCACGGUGGAUGCCUUGGCACUAGGAGCCGAUGAAGGACGGGACUAACACCGAUAUGCUUUGGGGAGCUGUACGUAAGCUAUGAUCCAGAGAUUUCCGAAUGGGGGAACCCAACAUCUUUAAUAGGAUGUUACGAUUGUGUGAAUACAUAGCACAUUCGAGGUAGACGCAGAGAACUGAAACAUCUAAGUACCUGCAGGAAGAGAAAGAAAAUUCGAUUCCCUGAGUAGCGGCGAGCGAAACGGGAAAAGCCCAAACCAGCAAGCUUGCUUGUUGGGGUUGUAGGACUCCAAUAUGGUAGUUCUUUCAGAUAGUCGAAUGACUUGGAAAAGUCAGUCAAAGAGGGUAAAAACCCCGUAGACGAAAUGUGGAAGACACCUAGGAGGAUCCUGAGUACGGCGGAACACGAGAAAUUCCGUCGGAAUCCGGGAGGACCAUCUCCCAAGGCUAAAUACUCCCUAGUGACCGAUAGUGAACCAGUACCGUGAGGGAAAGGUGAAAAGCACCCCGGAAGGGGAGUGAAAUAGAACCUGAAACCGUGUGCCUACAACAAGUCAAAGCCCGUUAAUGGGUGAUGGCGUGCCUUUUGUAGAAUGAACCGGCGAGUUACGAUUGCAUGCGAGGUUAAGUUGAAGAGACGGAGCCGCAGCGAAAGCGAGUCUGAAUAGGGCGUUUGAGUAUGUAGUCGUAGACCCGAAACCAUGUGAUCUACCCAUGUCCAGGUUGAAGGUGCGGUAAAACGCACUGGAGGACCGAACCCACGUACGUUGAAAAGUGCGGGGAUGAGGUGUGGGUAGCGGAGAAAUUCCAAACGAACUUGGAGAUAGCUGGUUCUCUCCGAAAUAGCUUUAGGGCUAGCCUCGGAAUUGAGAAUGAUGGAGGUAGAGCACUGUUUGGACUAGGGGCCCAUCUCGGGUUACCGAAUUCAGAUAAACUCCGAAUGCCAUUCAUUCAUAUCCGGGAGUCAGACUGUGAGUGAUAAGAUCCAUAGUCGAAAGGGAAACAGCCCAGACCACCAGCUAAGGUCCCAAAAUAUAUGUUAAGUGGAAAAGGAUGUGGGGUUGCACAGACAACUAGGAUGUUGGCUUAGAAGCAGCCACCAUUUAAAGAGUGCGUAAUAGCUCACUAGUCGAGUGACCCUGCGCCGAAAAUGUACCGGGGCUAAACAUAUUACCGAAGCUGUGGAGUACACCUUUAGGUGUAUUGGUAGGAGAGCGUUCUAAGGGCGUUGAAGGCAGAUCGU
rnacentral:rRNA from 1 species